CCCCACAGUCCAGCACUGGCCACCACCACGUUUCACAGCAGAACAUGGAACUCUUGACUUGUGUCAGUGACACGAGUGUGACAUUGGGAUACAAAUCAUUACUGUGGUGCACUUCUGGGCCCCAGGCUGUGUGGUUGGACUGACGCUGGGCCUUUGUUGAAGGUUCAGGCUGAUGUCCAGUAACCUGCUGACCGAUCUAGCCUGGGUCUCUGGCUCAACUCAUUCCUCUGGAAGAGAUGGAAAUACAUCCCAUUUUGGAAAAUACAAGAAGCAAUAACGAAAAAAAUGAAAAUAAUCUAUAAUCCUACUAGCCAAAGAUAACUACAAUCAACAUUUUGGGAUUUUCCCUGUGACUUUUCAAAAUGUAUUUUAUCCUGCUUAUUGUUAGCGCAUGACUUUAUAUCUUGAGGAUUUUUUCAUGUUGUGACUUUGUAAACAUCCGUUUCACGGAAGAAGGGCAAAAUGAAUAUUUUGAAGACUUAGGAAAUAAUUUCUGAAGUUAAUUGCACCAAUUUAUAGUCUUACCUGAUAUAUGUGAGAGUUUCUUUCCUUUUUUUUUUAACUUUAGGUUAAAUGAAAUUACAUUAAAUUUUUACUUUCA